rnacentral:rRNA from 1 species
AGAGCGAACGCUGGCGGCAGGCCUAACACAUGCAAGUCGAACGGACCCUUCGGGGUUAGUGGCGGACGGGUGAGUAACACGUGGGAACGUGCCUUUUGGUUCGGAAUAGCUCCUGGAAACGGGUGGUAAUGCCGAAUGUGCCCUUCGGGGGAAAGAUUUAUCGCCAUUAGAGCGGCCCGCGUCUGAUUAGCUAGUUGGUGAGGUAAUGGCUCACCAAGGCGACGAUCAGUAGCUGGUCUGAGAGGAUGACCAGCCACAUUGGGACUGAGACACGGCCCAAACUCCUACGGGAGGCAGCAGGUGGGGAAUCUUGCGCAAGUGGGCGAAAGCCUGGACCGCAGCCAUGCCGCGUGAAUGAUGGAAGGUCUUAGGAUUAGUAAAAUUUCUUACGACCGGGGUACAUAAGUGGAACCGGUACCCGGAGAACGAACGCCCCGGACUAACUUCGUGACCAGCAGCCGUC